rnacentral:rRNA from 1 species
AUGCCUCUCUCUUUAUAUCGUAGACUUGACUUGAAUAUGUUGACACCUACUGAAAUAUCUUUGCAAAUGGCUGAUAAAUCAAUUGCUAUACCUGUCGAUAUUUGUGAGGAUGUGCCUGUUGUGGUUGCAAACGUUACUAUUUUAAUGGACUUUGUUAUUCUUGAUAUUCCCGAGGAUGAUAGUAUGUCUAUUAUUCUUGGAAGACCUUUUUUGAAUACUGCAGGGGCUGUUAUUGAUUGCAACAAGGGCAAUGUCACUUUUCAUGUUAAUGGUAAUGAGCAUACGGUACACUUUCCGAGGAAACAACCUCAAGUCCACAGUAUCAAUUCUAUUGAAAAAAAUUCAUCGAUUAUUUUUGAAGGUUUUGAAUUUCCUUUACCUACUGUCAAGAAGAAAUAUGAUAUUCUUAUUAUUGGGGACGUGCAUAUCCCCGUUGAGGUAACAUAG